rnacentral:tRNA from 1 species
UUUUGUGUAGCUCAACGGUAGAGCGUCCCGAUUAGCAUCGGGAAGGUUAUCCGGUUCGAGUCCGGGAACGCAAAAG